rnacentral:lncRNA from 1 species
CCUGCCACCAUGUAAGAUGUUCCUUUGCUCUUCCUUCACCUUCUGCCAUGAUUGUGAAGCCUCCCCAGCCAUAUGGAACUGGAUGGAGUCUCACUAUGCUGCUCAAGGUGGUCUCAAACUCCUCGGCUUAAGUGAUCCCUCUGCCUCAGCUUCCUAAGUGCUGUCAUUACAGUUGUUUUUAUCAUUUAAAAGGUGACUAGGGCAAUGGGAUUACCUCUGAUAUCAGAGAGUUGGCAAUCAUGUAACCCUGAAAGUCAUGGCACAAUAUGGCAGAACAAGCACGUCUGGGGCCUGGGAGUCCUGAGGUACUCUAGUAAUUGUGGUUUUCCUCAUACUCUCUGGAUCUGGGGUGACCCAGAACACAGUCAUAAUUCUUGAACUGUUUGCAAGUGCAAACCUUGAGAUCUUCCCAAGCCAGUCACCCAGUCGAUAAUCAGCUCAAGAUCAUCCCUAUACCCCGAGUAGAAUUAGUUGUCAAUAUUUAGGGCACAAAAUUCAUUUUGGUGAGAUGCCCUAGGCCAUUGACACUAGUCAUAUAAUAAUCUAAUGUGUUUGCUGCAAUGACACAUUGCAGCCCUAUGUCCUCUGAGUUCUGGCUCUAAUGUGGUAUUUCUUUACACUAGCUUUCUCAAUAAUAUGAACAGCCUGCCUAUGAACUGAAAUGUGAAGUAUGAUACCCACUAUUAUAUAUCUUUCCUUACUGCAAGUCCAACUAAUGGUUAUUAAUAUGAACAACUUACCUCCUGCUUGCUUUCAGCUCCCGAAUUUUUAUUGUCUGUACUUUUCCUGUAGUGAAGUAGUUUCAUAGCUCAGCAAAGCCUCAGAAUUUUUUAUGAACAGUCUCUAAAAGGCAGCUAGAUCUAGCUCUAAGACAUCAAGCAAAUGACCCAGGACUUGUUAUUUUUCUUGUUGGUUUCUGCGUAGCUAAGGCAAAGGCUUUUUCUUGGCCUCCACUCAGCAAUAUGCAAAAAGCUGAAGCUUUUAAAGUGGGAGAAGAAACAGAAGGAACAGAGGAGGUAAUUGAGAAUUAGUCACAUUUGUUAUUUUUAGCACUGCCUGAUUUUGUCUGGAAAUGGAAGUGAAACUAUAAAAACAGGAAGAAACAUUGUGCAUUGAACUUCAAAGCUGAGAUAUGAGACUCUAGCUUACUUCUAAGAAAUGCUUGAUUUCAUACAAAACAGUAGUUAUUUCUUUUCCUGGAAUCUUCGAGAUUCUCUCCUCAUUCAGGCUUGGUAUACAAUCACUUGUUCAGUGAGCCUUCUUCAACCCCAAUCCAAUCAACUCCCAGGCCCUGUCUUUCAUUUUGUCCUUAUCGCUAUCAUUACCUUUUAUUACUCACUAUUUGUUAAUUUGUUUCUUUACCUUUUUUGUCCAUUGGAACACAAGAUUUAUAACCAGAGGCAUCAUUUCUUUCUUGUUCGUUACUGCAAAGAACAAAACCCGCACAAAGAAGACUCUCAGGAAAUGCUGGCUGAAUGACAGAAUGAACAUUGAUAAAUGAAGACUUCUUCAAAUAACUGAUGCUAGACAUCUCUAAAUAUAUCAGAAAUAACAUGUGACCAUGACAUCAUUCAUCAUUUUUCCAUCAAAACAUUUGAAAAUAACUUGGAUUCAUUUAUUAGAGCUUUAUUUUCCCACAUCUUGCAGUACCCUAGAGUUCUACAGUAAUUAACCUUAUGCUGAAUGGCAGAGGACAUGCACUAAGCUCCUAUUUAAAAUCUAUUCAUGAUGCAUUUUAAAUAUUCAGUAGAGACUUCUUAAACAUGCAGCCAUAGUCUAUUGAAAAUGGAUUUCCUAAAGCCAGGAGAUUGGAUAUUAAUAUCUGGCAUUCGUAUAAAGACAGGUUUUUGUUAACCUAUUAUAAAAAGGACUGAUGAUGUGAUUAUAUACUGUUUACUAGCUCACUUAUAUUUCUGUGCUAAUAAUUACUGUAACCCAUUUGUUUAGUUUUUUUAUUUUAUUUUCAUUAAGCAUUGUUUUUAAAAUUUUUUUAUCUUAGCUUAUGUUUGAUUUAUGUUUUUGAUUGAAUAAAGG